GUCGACACAUGCAGCAAACCACGCCCGCGCGGCAACUCGUGUCGCGCGCCUCAUCAGCAUUGUACUGGCGGUGGAGAAGACAAAAGUUGUCAGUCACUCCUUACCUCUCAGGGCAGGUUUUUCAAAAUCGGGGACUUUUUUUUGUAUUAGUUAAAUUGAAGUUUGUGUUUGUAGUGGAUAACAGAGAGCUCGGAAACGACAUUGACGCCUAUGAAGAAGCUGCUGAGUUCACCAGCUGAAGCCAAUUUACGUUACCGUGGAAAAGUUACUGUUGGGUACCCCGUGGGGUUUAAAGUUCAGCUAGCGUCACUGGCAGCUAGCAGGUAGUUAGCUCCAUAUUGUAACAGAUUAGUGUGGUCACAAUGGCAGCUGUGUGUCAGCCCCGACGUGCCUUAGUGGAAAUACCUGCUCCACAGCCCAAAAUUGCAGCUCGAAUAAGGAGGUCCUAUUUAGACAUUUUAAGUGCUCGUUUGGCUCCAUCUCCAUUUCCAAGAGGGAGAAGCGCAACUACAAACACAACACGUGUGCACUCAUUGGACUUGUCCAUUGGUGGGGUGUGGAGGGGGAGGAUAGAGGAGCAGUGUGAGAAGAUGGACGGGCACCAUACCCCUCUCUCCAAACAGCAGCUUGUACAGCUAAUCAGAUCGCUCAUCCUGGUUGAACAGAGCCAAGAACCCAGGAUCCUAGCAUCUGACCUGAAGUAUCUCCAGGAAGACCUGCAACUAAAGAAAGCAAAUGUUUAUAGGUCCAUACCUUACUCACGGCUUGGCUCUAACAGGGACGCUCGCUGCUACAGAAAGGCAUAUCCUCACCUGGUGGCAUUCAAAGUUUCCUGUCAGGAGUGGGGCCAAGUUCUUCUGAGGAACAAUGAGUGGGACGCUGUGUUGGAGCACACAUUAAUGGCGUGGCGCUACACCAGCGAGUUGCCGCAGUGGGAUACAGCAAACCAUAAUGCUCUCCGAGAACAGUGUUACAGCAUUUUGGCAGCUCACAGCCUCACUUGUCUCCAGCACUACCACCCUGAACCCAACAGAGGACGCGAGCUGCUCAGAAGUUCAUUUAGCUGACACCUUUAUCCAAAGCGACUUACAAUAAGUGCAAACAAUCGUGGAGUCCUGUCUUGCCACCUGUUGAAUGUUGAACAUGGCUCGGUUGCACAGCCAGUCAAUCGUGCAUUGUAUUCAAGAGUUGCAGAGGAUUAUGGGAUGUGCUGAUGACUCAUCCAUGGACACAAAAUAACACAAACACUAUCAAUCCAGCUGGCUACACCCCAGUGACAAGUGUUUGAUAGAUGACUUAAAUAAUUUAUGUGGUACUGGGCCAAAAACAUUGUACAUGGUAGUGUUUGUUUGGAAAAACCACUACAGUAUUCUUCCAAAGGGCAGAGUAGCAGCUGGGAAUGUGCCAGAUGAUACAAGUUUCAAAAGGUAAUGAGAACCACCUUCUAAAUGGUUGAAAAUGCAAUAAAACCUCUUAUUUAAUCACAUUGUCUUUUACAUCAGCUGGAAAGUAUUAUUAGGAGUGUAACAUUUGUUGCACGGCUUACCUCAUAAUGUAUUUAUCGUUGGUUAAUGUAACGAACAGCCUAACAAAGAUGAUUUCAUUCACAAUCUGAGAAAUGUUGCGUUGGUGCCGUCAGUGCUGUAUAUAAUUACAAUGUAUAUUUUUAGAUUUUUGUAUUUAAUAACUUUUGCAUUGACCAUUUGAAAUGUAAAAGUAUGAAUUGGCCUUUCUUGUGGCUUUAUAAGGGUAUGUGUAUGUAUGUCCUUGUUACUGUUCCCAAUACUUGAAACUGUGGCCUUUGCUGUCUUUGACGAUCGUUAUGUUUUUAUAUGUUUGUCUUGUUUAGAGGAUCGUCUGUCACUGAUUUCACUGUUGCCAUUUGUCCUGAAAACUUGAAACAUUUUGAUAAAAUAGAGCCCUAAUUUCAAUAAAGUGACUUUGUACUAUUGAAAAUCUAGUUCAUCAGUUGUGU